UACGUAGGGGGCAAGCGUUGUCCGGAAUCAUUGGGCGUAAAGCGCGUGUAGGCGGCUUGGUAAGUCUGCUCUGAAAGCCCGGGGCUCAACCCCGGACUUGCGGUGGGUACGGGCAGACUAGAGUGCGGUAGGGGAGACUGGAAUUCCUGGUGUAGCGGUGAAAUGCGCAGAUAUCGGGAAGACACCCGUGGCGAAGGCGGCUCUCUGGGACGGUACUGACGCUGAGACGCGAAGCGUGGGAGCGACAGG
rnacentral:rRNA from 1 species